GACGAACGCUGGCGGCGUGCCUAAUACAUGCAAGUCGAACGCAGUGGGGACGGGUGAGUAACACGUGGGUAACCUCCCAUCAGAGGGGAUAACACUUGGAAACAGGUGCUAAACCGAUAUCGAUGGAUGGACCCGCGGUGCAUUAGCUAGUUGGUGAGGUAACGGCUCACCAAGGCCACGAUGCCUAGCCGACCUGAGAGGGUGAUGGGCCAAACUGGAACUGAGCCACGGCCCGGACUCCUCCGGGGGGCAGCAGUGGGGAAUCUUCGGCAAGGGACGAAAGUCUGACCGAGCAACCCCGCGUGAGUGAAGAAGGUUUUCGGAUCGUAAAACUCUUUUGUUAGAGAAGCGGUAUCUAACCAGAAAGCCACGGCUAACUACGUGCCAGCAGCCGCGGUAAUAC
rnacentral:rRNA from 1 species